AUAUUAUCCAACUUAAGAAUUAAGCUAAAAUUAACUUAUAAAUUUCUCUUUCUCUUAUUGCAUAGCACGGCAUUGGGAACAUGGAUAUAAAUUGCGGUUACAGGUAAUAAAAGCAAGCCUGUAAAAGCCAUAACAUAACAAUAAUGGCUUAUCUUGAAAAAAUUUGCAAAGUUCGUGAAAUCAAUAAAUAUUUAAAGAUAUGUAAAACUUAGAUACACAAACAAAUAAUGAACAGAAUGACAGCAAAUAAAACAUUAACCCUCUAUUUGGAUAUAUGGAAAGUAUGGGGGAAGGAAAUAACUAGAGGAAAAUAAAGAAAGAUUUUAGCUUUCCUUUGUUUGGAAAUAGAGGAGAAAAUAA
rnacentral:misc_RNA from 1 species